UGCCAGCAGCCGCGGUAAUACGAAGGGUGCUAGCGUUGUUCGGAAUUACUGGGCGUAAAGAGCAUGUAGGCGGAUUAAUAAGUCAGAGGUGAAAUCCUGCAGCUCAACUGUAGAACUGCCUUUGAUACUGUUAAUCUUGAGUUAUUAUGAAGUAGUUAGAAUAUGUAGUGUAGCGGUGAAAUGCAUAGAUAUUACAUAGAAUACCAAUUGCGAAGGCAGAUUACUAAUAAUAUACUGACACUGAGGGACGAAAGCGUGGGGAGCGAACAGGAUUAGAUA
rnacentral:rRNA from 1 species